rnacentral:rRNA from 1 species
GCAGUCGAGCGGACGGAUGGGAGCUUGCUCCCUGAAGUCAGCGGCGGACGGGUGAGUAACACGUGGGCAACCUGCCUGUAAGACUGGGAUAACUUCGGGAAACCGGAGCUAAUACCGGAUAAUGCUUUUCUCUCAUGAGGCUAUGCUGAAAGAUGGUUUCGGCUAUCACUUACAGAUGGGCCCGCGGCGCAUUAGCUAGUUGGUGAGGUAACGGCUCACCAAGGCAACGAUGCGUAGCCGACCUGAGAGGGUGAUCGGCCACACUGGGACUGAGACACGGCCCAGACUACUACGGGAGGCAGCAGUAGGGAAUCUUCCGCAAUGGACGAAAGUCUGACGGAGCAACGCCGCGUGAGUGAUGAAGGUUUUCGGAUCGUAAAACUCUGUUGUCAGGGAAGAACAAGUGCCGGAGUAACUGCCGGCACCUUGACGGUACCUGACCAGAAAGCCACGGCUAACUACGUGCCAGCAGCCGCGGUAAUACGUAGGUGGCAAGCGUUGUCCGGAAUUAUUGGGCGUAAAGCGCGCGCAGGCGGUCUCUUAAGUCUGAUGUGAAAGCCCACGGCUCAACCGUGGAGGGUCAUUGGAAACUGGGGGACUUGAGUGCAGAAGAGGAAAGUGGAAUUCCACGUGUAGCGGUGAAAUGCGUAGAGAUGUGGAGGAACACCAGUGGCGAAGGCGA